AGUGAACGCUGGCGGCGUGCCUAAUACAUGCAAGUCGAACGGAGUGGCGCACGGGUGAGUAAUGUAUAGCUAAUCUGCCCUAAACUAGAUGACAACAGUUAGAAACGACUGCUAAUAAUCUCUAGUGUAGGAUGAGGCGAUAUUUUAUCAGCUAGUUGGUGAGGUAAUGGAUCAACAAGGCUAUGACGCAUAACUGGUCUGAGAGGAUGAUCAGUCACACUCGAACCUAGACACGGUGCAGACUCCUACGGGAGGCAGCAGUAGGGAAGAUUGCCCAAUGGUGGAAACCCUUUAGCAGCUACGCUGCGUGGAGGAUGACACUUUUCAGAGCGUAAACUCCUUUUUUGAGGGACGCGGUACCUAACGAAUAAGCACCGGCGAACUCCGUGCCAGCAGCCGCGGGAAUAC
rnacentral:rRNA from 1 species